CCCGGUUCUGGGUCCCCAGGUCCCGGUCCCCCAAACUCGGGGCAGCUCCGGUUCCCGGGUUUGGAUCCCCAGGUCCCGGUGCCCCAAACUCAGACCAGUCCCGAUUCCCGGUUCUGGGUCCCCAGGUCCCGGUUUCGGUCCCCCAAACUCAGACCAGCCCCUGGAUCCCCAGAUCCCGGUCCCCACCUCCGCGGCUGCUCCGGUGUCCGGAUCCCCCCACUUUUCUCCCCCGGCACAGCCCCGGUUCCCCAAAUUCGGGCCUGGACCGGUGUCCCCCCAACCCGGGGCAGCCCCGAGUGUCCGGACCGGUCCGGGUCUCCUACCCCCUAUCCCCCAUCCCGGGGCCCCUCCGGUGCCCGGUCCCGGGACCGGAUCCCGCUCCCCCCCGCCCCGCCCAGCCCCGUCCCCCAAUCCCGGGGCCAUUCCGGUGCCCGGUACCCCAAUCCCGGUGCCGGGUCCCGCUCCCCCACCCCCGGUCCUCCUACUCCCGUGCCGGGUCCCGCUCCGCCACGCCCGGCCCAGCUCGAUCACCGCACCCCGGGGCCGUUCCGGUGCCCGGUCCCCCAAUCCCGGCCCAGCUCCGUCCCCCAAUCCCGGGGCCACUCCCGCUGCCCGGUCCCCAGUUCCGGUGCCCGGUCCCCCAAUCCCGGGGCCACUCCCGGUGCCCGGUCCCGGUGCCGGAUCCCGGUUCCCCAAUCCCGGGGCCACUCCCGGUGCCGGAUCCCGGUUCCCCCCGCCCGGCCCCGCUCCACGUGGCAUCCCGCGGUCUGUCCCGGCCCUUCCCGGUGUUCCGGUGGCGGGGAGCGGUGCCGAAGGUUGGGGUCGGUCUCACCUGGCACCGGAGCGGAGCUGGCACCGUUUGCAGCGCUCCUUCCUCCGCUGCAGGCGGCGCGGGGCUCUCCGCUCGCCCUCCUGCCACAUCCCGGUGUUCCUGAUAUUCCCGCUGCUCCCGGAGGGGCGGAGCGGGAUAAGAUCGGCUCCGGGGGGCGGCUCCCGCUGCCGGCCCCGCCCCUC
rnacentral:lncRNA from 1 species